rnacentral:rRNA from 1 species
AUUGAACGCUGGCGGCAGGCCUAACACAUGCAAGUCGAGCGAGCGGCGGACGGGUGAGUAAUGUAUGGGGAACUGCCUGAUAGAGGGGGAUAACUACUGGAAACGGUAGCUAAUACCGCAUACUAUCGGAUGUACCCAGAUGGGAUUAGCUAGUAGGUGGGGUAAUGGCUCACCUAGGCGACGAUCCCUAGCUGGUCUGAGAGGAUGACCAGCCACACUGGUACUGAGACACGGCCCAGACUCCUACGGGAGGCAGCAGUGGGGAAUAUGGCACAAGGGGGGCAAGCCUGAUGCAGCCAUGCCGCGGGUAUGAAGAAGGCCUUAGGGUUGUAAAGCACUUUCAGCGAGGAGGCGUUACCCGCAGAAGAAGCACCGGCUAACUCCGUGCCAGCAGCCGCGGUAAUUC